AAACCAACAGGGAUUGCCCUAGUAACGGCGAGUGAAGCGGCAACAGCUCAAAUUUGAAAUCUGGCGCUUUGGGCGCUCGAAUUGUAAUUUGUAGAGGAUGUUUCUGGGCCGCCCCCGGUCUAAGUUCCUUGGAACAGGACGUCACAGAGGGUGAGAAUCCCGUACGUGGCCGGGUGGGCACCCUGCACGAAACUCCUUCGACGAGUCGAGUUGUUUGGGAAUGCAGCUCUAAAUGGGAGGUAAAUUUCUUCUAAAGCUAAAUACCGGCCAGAGACCGAUAGCGCACAAGUAGAGUGAUCGAAAGAUGAAAAGCACUUUGGAAAGAGAGUUAAACAGCACGUGAAAUUGUUGAAAGGGAAGCGCUUGCCACCAGACUUGUGGGCGGAGUUCCGCCGGUCUUCUGACCGGUCUACUCUCCGUCCGCAGGCCAGCAUCACUUUGGGUCGCCGGAUAAACACGGCGGGAAUGUGGCUCCCCCGGGAGUGUUAUAGCCCACCGCGCAAUACGGCGUACCUGGAGUGAGGUCCGCGCUUCGGCAAGGAUGCUGGCGUAAUGGUUGUAAGCGGC
rnacentral:rRNA from 1 species